rnacentral:rRNA from 1 species
UACGAAGGGGGCUAGCGUUGCUCGGAAUCACUGGGCGUAAAGGGUGCGUAGGCGGGUCUUUAAGUCGGGUGUGAAAGCCCCGGGCUCAACCUGGGAAUUGCAUUCGAGACUGCGUAGCUAGGGUGCGGAAGAGGGAAGCGGAAUUUCCGGUGUAGCGGUGAAAUGCGUAGAUAUCGGAAGGAACACCAGUGGCGAAAGCGGCUUCCUGGUCCAGCACCGACGUUCAGGCACGAAAGCGUGGGGAGCAAACAGG